AGAUUGAACGCUGGCGGCAGGCCUAACACAUGCAAGUCGAGCGGUAGAGAGGUGCUUGCACCUCUUGAGAGCGGCGGACGGGUGAGUAAUGCCUAGGAAUCUGCCUAGUGGUGGGGGAUAACGUUCGGAAACGGACGCUAAUACCGCAUACGUCCUACGGGAGAAAGGCGGGGACCUUCGGGCCUCGCGCCAUUAGAUGAGCCUAGGUCGGAUUAGCUAGUUGGUGAGGUAAUGGCUCACCAAGGCGACGAUCCGUAACUGGUCUGAGAGGGAUGAUCAGUCACACUGGAACUGAGACACGGUCCAGACU
rnacentral:rRNA from 1 species